GGUUUCCGGUAGGUGACCUGCGGAGGAUCAUUA
rnacentral:rRNA from 1 species